rnacentral:rRNA from 1 species
CGCCUCUUGCUAACAAAGGAAGUACUAGAGGUCCCGCCUGCCCUGUGACCACAAAGUUUAACGGCCGCGGUAUCCUGACCGUGCGAAGGUAGCGUAAUCAUUUGUCUUUUAAAUAGAGACCUGUAUGAAUGGCAUAACGAGGGUUUAACUGUCUCCUUCCCCCAGUCAAUGAAAUUGAUCUGCCCGUGCAGAAGCGGACAUAAAUACAUAAGACGAGAAGACCCUAUGGAGCUUUAGACAAAAGAUCAAACAUGUAAAGAAACCAAAACAACCAAAAGGAACACGAAGGCCACAAAACCCAACGUAAACUGAUCUAAAU